rnacentral:tRNA from 1 species
AGGGAUGUAGCUCAGUGGUAGAGCACUCUGCCUAGUAGGUGUGAGGCCCUAGGUAUGAUACCCAGCACCCCUU